AUUGAACGCUGGCGGCAGGCCUAACACAUGCAAGUCGAGAGGAGCGGCGGACGGGUGAGUAAUGCCUAGGAAUCUGCCUGGUAGUGGGGGAUAAAGUCCGGAAACGGGCGCUAAUACCGAAUACUAUCAGAUGAGCCUAGGUCGGAUUAGCUAGUGGGUGGGAUAAAGGCCUACCAAGGCGACGAUCCGUACCUGGUCUGAGAGGAUGAUACUUCACAUUGUACCUGAGACACGGUCCAGACUCCUACGGGAGGCAGCAGUGGGGAAUAUUGGACAAUGGGCGAAAGCCUGAUCCAGCCAGGCCGCGUGUGUGAAGAAGGUCUUCGGAUUGUAAAGCACUUGAAGUUGAGAGGCGUUACCAACAGAAUAAGCACCGGCUAACUUCGUGCCAGCAGCCGCGGUAAUAC
rnacentral:rRNA from 1 species